rnacentral:rRNA from 1 species
UACGUAGGUGGCAAGCGGUGUCCGGAUUUACUGGGCGUAAAGAGCGUGUAGGCGGCCAGAAAAGUCCGCUGGGAAAACUCGAGGCUCAACUUCGAGCUGUCGGUGGAAACUUUCUGGCUAGAGUCCGGAAGAGGAGAAUGGAAUUCCUGGUGUAGCGGUGAAAUGCGCAGAUAUCAGGAAGAACACCCGUGGCGAAGGCGGUUCUCUGGGACGGUACUGACGCUGAGACGCGAAAGCGUGGGGAGCGAACAGG